rnacentral:rRNA from 1 species
AAUCAACGCUGGCGGCGUGCCUAACACAUGCAAGUCGAACGCGAAAGGGGCUUCGGCCCUGAGUAGAGUGGCGUCCGGGUGAGUAACGCGUGGGUAAUCUACCCUUGGGUGGGGAAUAACCAGUCGAAAGAUUGGCUAAUACCGCAUAAUGCAGCGGCUCGGACAUCGAGACAGUUGUUAAAGCAGCAAUGCGCCAGAGGAGGAGCCUGCGUCUGAUUAGCUUGUUGGCGGGGUAACGGCCCACCAAGGCUACGAUCAGUAGCUGGUCUGAGAGGACGGCCAGCC